rnacentral:antisense_RNA from 11 species
AUAGCUGAAUUGUUGGCUAUACGGUUUUUAGAUGGCCCCGGUAAUCUUUCUGCACUCGCCAAAGUUAGAGAAGAUUAUCGGGGUUUUCGCUU